AUGGCUAGCCAUGUCGCUGCGACUCUGCCGCCGCUGUUACCUACCCGGCGCGCUGCCUCCUCCUGACGCCUCCUCCGGCGGUGUACACGGCUCGUGUAGAGCUGGACACCAAGAAGCAGCAGCCUGGACGUGCCUCUAUGAGCCGAAGCUGGAUCAGAGACAAGAUCGACCUUCCCGAACGUGCUUCCCGGAGCUCCAGCUGGCUCACUGACAAGACGCUCCGCCGUGUCGGGACUUUGAACGGCGGCGUCGAGCGCUUCGGCCGCGGGGAGAUGCCGAGGGAGAACUGGAAGAGGCCGGCGAACCGUACGCCAUCAGUCGACCGGUGCGAGAAGAAGCUGAGGCCUCCGACCGAGAUAGUGGCAGCCUCGGAGGCAUCACUCCUCGUCGGCCCGGCGCCGUCAGUCGGCCGGUUCGAGAAGAAGGAGACGCCUAUGACUGAGAUGGUGGCAGACUCGGUGGUGGCAUCCUUCGAUGGCCCUGCUCCGUCGAUCGACCUGUCGGAGAAGAAAGCAGAGCCUACGACUGAGAUGGUGGCAGACUCGGAGGCGACACUCUUUGUUGGUCCUGUGACGUCGGAGAAGAAGCCGACCCCUCCUACCGUGGUGGCACCCUUCGCUGGCCUCGCUCCGUUGAUGGACCGGCCCGAGAAGAAGCCGAAGGCUCUGGCUAAGAUGGAGGUGGACUCGGAGGCAUCCUUGUUCGCUGGCCCGACAUUCAUGGUGUCGCCGGACCCGAGCGAGCUGCCCAUGCCGACCUUCAUCAUGUCGCCGGACCCGAGCGAGCUGCCCAUGCCAACCUUCCUCUAUAAGCACAAGGUGGCUAAAGUGUUAGCUAGACUAGUCGCUCCGAUGCUCAUUGAUCAGCAAGAAGAUUGAAGCCACUUUCAGUAUGUAGUAGCUAGGUGGAGUAUACUGAUCAGCAAGAUUGAAGCUGUUUUCAGUAUGUAACUAGGUGGACAUGAUUAAUACAAUUGCCACCAUUUAUUCCUGAGGUUGGCACUGAUCUUAUCUGCGGUGGAAUGAAAUGAUCGUGUUCUGCAAAUAAGCGUCAGUCGACACGGCAUACUGUGCAAAGUGCAAACAGAGACAUUCUCGCAAACACCUUCAGGGCGUGAGUACGACAGGCUCCUUCCAGGGCCAAGCUCUGGGCCAGGCACCUUGGGCCGCGUCGCCAUCCUUUGGAUGAGCUCCGUCCAACUGCUUCAUCGCCUCGGCUGCAUAUCUGUCUCUCUCCCUCCGGCGGUGCUGCUGACCCGGCGCAUCUGUCGCCGCGUUCCUCCCCGCCGCGUCGGCGUACAACCGGCGGCUCUCCCCGUCGCUGCGGCCCCCGGCUCACCCGCAGGCGGCGUCUCACGUCGCCCAGCGGCCAGAUCCCCCCCAACGCCGCCGACCGCCGCUCGCCCUCCUCGCCAUCUUCAAGCUCUGACCCGUGGCAGUGCACUUCAACCUGGGGCCAACGACCCAGCGGCCUGCGGCAGCGGUGGCUAUGGCCGGCUGCUGCUGCUGCUAGGAGCCCGGCCCGCAGCCACAAUAGCACGCCGACCAGCCAUCAUGUCUGUUGAAUCAAUGUCUCUCACUAACACUGGGAAACCGAAUUAUGCAAGUGGAAGGUGAAUUUUCCACAUCUCCUGACACAGCCUUUACGCCAUCCCAAUACAAUUCUAUUCAUAUAUGAUUCAUGCCAUGUUGGAAGUAGGAAAUGAAGUUUAACAUUGUCGAGUCAGCGCAGCUUAUUGUAGGAAGAGGAGAUACGAAAUUUAACAUUGUCGAGUCAGCGCAGCCGAUUUUGGAAGAGGGGAAGCUCAACCAGGCCUAGCCAACCACAGUACCUUGCUUGACCUGCUUGAAAUCCCCCAACUUAUGGACAUAUUUGUUUUGUAUUUGAAGUUGAUUGAUAUUUUUAUAUGACAUUUGGUGCUCACAUAUGCAAAAUUUUCAGGUUCCAUGGUACAUCUGCUGUCACAUGAUCUUCUUGAUGCAUAUUCACAAUCAAAAAUAGAUUUUGUGCCUACUUGCUUUCUUAUGCACCGUGCUGUUAGCUCGUGGGAGAAUCAGUAAAAAUAAUUCUGACAUGAAACUGUAUAUGAUUGUUCUGAAAUUAGUGGUUCCACGGUGUCUAUAUAUCUAACGUAUUUACUUUAGCAGUUCAGGAGGAUGCUUUUGGGCGAUACACCCUACUUAUGUAGGAAGAAAUGAAGUCAGCCUGCACCAGGGGUGCACUUGACAACAACAGGGACACAAAGUUGGUCUGAUUGGCAAGGCUUCUGGUUAGCUCUUUACACAUGGUAAUUUAAACAUCUGAAAAUCAAGAUUUAUUUCUGGUUAUCACUAAAGAGAAGUAUUCUUGCUAAAUCAGCUUUAGCUAGGAGAGAAUGGAAAGAAAUGUUCUUUACCUAAUCAGCUUUAGGCAGGAGAGGCUACAAAGGAGACGAAAAAUGGCAUUUUUGUCAUAAGAUAUCAUUGGAGCGCCUCUUGUGUGCUUUCCCUGUAGAUUCCCUUUGCUGGACUGCAGAGUCAAAUGUUCUUAUUUUCUAAACUCGAUAUUUACAAAUAUUAACCAUUUGUGAGCAGUGAUAACGGUUACAUGGUUUUAGCCAAAAUGUCUAGCUAAGACUUUCUGAUCAUAUAGGACUCCUACUACAAAGAAAACACAGAAGGCGGUCAUAAAGAUGAUGGCCUCACUACCAAUCUGUUUUAUGGGGUCAAUGGAAACUGAACUUGCUUUUGCCGAACCACAAUGGUUUGCAACCAUAGAGCCACACAGUUUGGGGUUUCCACCAAAGCUAGAAUCCGGAAAUGUGCUAAACUGGCCCGCGUUUGGAAUAGUGCCUUCCAGGUCAUUAUUAGAAAUGUUGAAUCUGGAAAGGAAGUGCAGAUUGUUCAAUGCAGCUGGAAUCUUACCAGUGAGAUGAUUACCGGACAAGUCGAGCAUCUGCAGGUUCGUGAGGUUGCAGAUCUGUUCUGGUAUCUCUCCAGAUAAUCUGUUGGAGCUCAAGUUAAGUGAAAAUAGUCCUUGUAACUGACCGAUCUCCUCCGGAAUCAUACCAGUGAAAUUAUUCAUGGCUAGAUUAAGCUCUUUAGGAAAAGCACUAGGCGUGAGGUAUUGCAGAAAUUGGUUCUUGUUCCAAACAGGCAGCUCAAAGAAUACCUUUGGUGCAGUACUAUCUGAUUCUAGCAUUGGCAUCUCCAUUAAAGCACUUGGAAUUUCCCCUGUAAGGCUGUUGUUUGAUAUAUCUAGAGAGAAGAGAAAUUUUAGGCUGCUGAUCCAUUCAGGUAUGGGCCCAGUUAGUUUAUUGCCUUGCAAAAAUAGCAUCCCCAAAUUCGGUAGCUUCGAUAACCAAUCAGGUAUUUUUCCAGACAAUGAACAAUGAUUUAUAUAAAGAACCUGGAGAUUCUUGAAACCAUCAAUGUUGACAUCCUCUGGCAUGGUCUCAUGCAGGAAGUUGAACCCAAGAUAAAGGGUGGUGAGGCUCCUGGAACUGCUUAGGAUCCGAAUUGUUCUUGUGAUAUUUGUAAGAGAGUUAUUAGCAAGUGAUAGGAAUGACAGGGACUUCAGAUUGCCUAUUUCUUCUGACAAUUGACCAUGGAAAGGAUUGUAAGAUAGCCGUAGUGCAGUCAGCUUGCUGCAGGAGUAUAUGCUUUCUGGAACUGUGCCGGUGAAGUUAUUGGAAAGAAGAUCUAGUUUUUUUAGAUUGGACAGACUUACGAAGUUGACCUUGCUCCUCCAAUCUCUUCACAUCACCUAUAGACUCUGGAAUAUUGCCGCUGAGCUCAUUCCCCCCAAGAUCAAGGGUGACCAGAUUUGUGAGCUUGCUGAUGCCAUCAAGAGCUCCUUCUAACCUAUUGUUAGGCAAUGAGAGGUGCUCUAACGAGAUUACCUUAGAAGAGUUCAUCUGGAAGUGUACCACUGAGGUUGUUGUAGCCAGCACCAAGCAAUUUCAGCGCUGAGCAAUUACUGAGCCCUGGAGGGAUGUUUCCACUGAGUUGGUUGAAACUGAGCUCAAGCACGGCAAAAGAUGGGGCGCUAAAACAUGGUGUAGUUGGUAUCUGACCAGUAAACCUGUUGCUGCUGGCAUUAAGAACGACCAGGCUCUUCAUCGCCUCCCAUGUUGUGGAUGGAAAACUGCCUGUAAACAAGUUGCUUGAGAUGUUGAGUACCUGCAGAGGCCGCACAGGGGUUGAAGAUGGCAGCUCACCCAGGCCUCCUGUCAGGCGGUUGAAGCUGACAUCAAGAACAAGGAUGCUGCUGGAUGAUAUUAACUCCAGUGGCAAGCCACCGGACAGCGAGUUCCGGGACAGGUUGAGGCGCAAAAGCCCGGUGAGGUUGCCAAGGAACGGCGAGAUGGGCCCCUCGAGGCCUCGAGAAGCCAGUGAAACAUCAGUAACCUUCCUAUCUUGGUUGCAGGUGAUCCCUUCCCAUGUGCAGCAGUCAGUGUCGUGCCGCCAUGACGCCGUGAGGCCGCCGUUCCACGAUAGCACGGUGAGGAGCUGGAGAAGGGAGCUCUUCUCCUGCUCGAUGCAAGAGCUGGUGGGAGAGACCAAAUAGAGCAGCAGCACCAGAGCCAAGCUAAAUGGAGGCAUGCUAAAAUUCUUGGUGUGCUUGUUGUAUGAAAUGUAGUGGCUGCACGGUAUUGUGGUGAAACUGGCAAUGGCCUAAUGAAGAAAGAGCGUGCAAACGGAACUGUGUUACAAAUUAUUCUGUUUGUGACGUACAGAAGCAUGACAGCAGACUUUGAAGAUUGCAACUGCACUCGUACUCCACUUUAGGAUUUUGUGAGAGCUCCGGAGCUACUCAAGUUCUUAUUGCUUUGUACAAAAAGUCCACCUCACAGAGUCACAGUUUCCCACUUGGAAGGAGACGAUCGUCAGUUGACGGGCAUGUGUCUGUGAGCGCUUACGUAGAAGCUCAUCUCUGAUUCUCUUCUUUUGAGUUAUAAUUAUUUGACAUCAACCAAAAUCUCACUAAGACGACCAAAUGGGUGAAGGUGGACUUUAGAAGGAGAAAGAAGGCCUCGAGGAGGGAGAAGAACCCUUUGGACAUGGAAUGAGAGUGGCUGGAGGCGAUUUCAGAGUCAAAUAAAGGUAAAGUCAAAAUAAUUUGCUCCAGCUUAUUCUCUCAACUUCAAUAGAAUGCUGCUGGAUUCUCGUGAGGCCGCCAUCCCGAGAGAGCCCGGCGAGGAGCUAGAGAAGGGAGAUCUUCUCCAGCUCGGUGCAGGAGCUGGUCGCAGAGACCAAAGAGAGCAGCAGCACCAGAGCCAAGCUAAAUGAAUCCAUGUGUUAAAAUUCUUAGUGUACUUUGUUGUGUGAAAAAUAGUGGAUGCACGGUGUCGUGGUGAAACUAGCAACGGUCUAGUGAAGAAAGAGCGUGCGAACGGAACUGUCCAUUCUGAAUAUUUUUGUUUGACAGUUUCCUGAAACUGUACAUUCCGAAAGCAUACUAAACUGCCAUUUCCUAAACAAAAAAAAAGAGCUGUCCAUUCGGAUUCUGUCAGUUUUGUUAUAUAUUUUCUGUUUGAAAUUUUCGGUGAUGUCAUUAUGACGCGGCCUAUUUUUUUUUCUUCUGAGCUGCUAAUAAUAUGCAGUGUUAAGUCGAGUGUCGAGUACCGGUGUCUCACUGGUAGUCGAGUGGCUAAUAAUAUUUUGUGUCAAGUAGAGUGUCAUUGUAUUUCAAUGGAGUGCAUAUAUGUCAUGGAUCAUUGUACAGGUGACUAAUAACAUUUCCUAUUAAAUCAAGCGUCGAUGCUAUUAAGGUUUGCUGCUACUCA